UCACUAAGAGAUGGUCCCGCGGUGCAAUAUCUAGUUGGUAAGGUAAUGGCUUACCAAGGCGAUGAUGCAUAGCCGAGUUGAGAGACUGAUCGGCCACAAUGGGACUGAGACACGGCCCAUACUCCUACGGGAGGCAGCAUUAGGGAAUCUUCCACAAUGGGCGAAAGCCUGAUGGAGCAACGCCGCGUGUGUGAUGAAGGGUUUCGGCUCGUAAAACACUGUUGUAAGAGAAGAAUGACAUUGAGAGUAACUGUUCAAUGUGUGACGGUAUCUUACCAGAAAGGAACGGCUAAAUACGUGCCAGCAGCCGCGGUAAUACAUAUGUUCCAAGCGUUAUCCGGAUUUAUUGGGCGUAAAGCGAGCGCAGACGGUUAUUUAAGUCUGAAGUGAAAGCCCUCACCUCAACUGAGGAAUUGCUUUGGACACUGGAUGACUUGAGUGCAAUAGAGGAAAGUGGAACUCCAUGUGUAGCGGUGAAAUGCGUAUAUAU
rnacentral:rRNA from 1 species